GCUCCGGCGGCGCGGAUGGCGGAGGGCGGCCAGCCCCCGCAGCAGCAGCAGCCACAGCCGCAGCUCCUGGCCGGCGGCGGCGCGGGGUCCGCCCGCGGCGUGAAGCGGGAGCCGGAGCUGGAGCAGCCCAUGCCCGGCGGGGACGGCACGGAGGGCGGCCACAGCAAGCGGCUGCGGACGGAGGCGGAGGCCGACGGCGGCGGCAUGCAGAGCGAGCCUCUGACUUCAGGUUAUCAUGGAUAUCCAGCAAGAGACAAUCAAGGUAACCAGGAGCCAUCCGCAACUCCUGAUGCAAUGGUGCAGCCAUUCACCACAAUCCCAUUUCCGCCACCCCCACAGAAUGGGAUUCCCACAGAGUAUGGGGUGCCACACACUCAGGACUAUGCAGGCCAGACCAGCGAGCACAAUCUGACGCUCUACGGAAGCACGCAGCCGCAUGGAGAGCAGAGCACGAACACGGCCAGCACGCAGAACGGAUCUCUUGCACAGACAGAAGGAGGGGCACAGACAGAUGGACAGCAAUCACAGACACAGAGCAGUGAAAAUACUGAGAGCAAAUCCACUCCAAAACGACUUCACGUGUCUAACAUUCCCUUCCGCUUUCGAGAUCCUGACCUUCGGCAGAUGUUUGGGCAAUUCGGGAAAAUCCUUGAUGUAGAGAUAAUCUUUAAUGAGCGUGGCUCGAAGGGAUUCGGGUUCGUAACUUUCGAGAAUAGUGCUGAUGCAGACAGGGCCAGGGAGAAAUUACACGGCACCGUGGUAGAGGGCCGUAAAAUCGAGGUUAACAAUGCCACUGCAAGAGUGAUGACCAAUAAGAAGAUGGUCACACCUUAUGCAAAUGGUUGGAAGUUGAGUCCUGUGGUUGGAGCGGUGUACGGCCCUGAGUUAUAUGCAGCGUCCAGCUUUCAAGCAGAUGUCUCGCUGGGCAAUGACGCCGCAGUGCCCCUGUCAGGAAGGGGGGGUAUUAACACUUACAUUCCUUUAAUCAUUCCAGGCUUCCCCUAUCCAACUGCAGCCACCACAGCCGCCGCAUUUCGGGGCGCCCAUCUGAGGGGCCGAGGAAGGACAGUGUAUGGGGCAGUGCGGGCAGUACCUCCCACGGCCAUCCCUGCCUACCCAGGUGUGGUUUACCAGGACGGAUUUUACGGUGCUGACCUCUAUAAUAGUCUUACAGGAACCAAUCAUUAGCGCUAAAAUACCUCAGGGUGGAUACGCAGCCUACAGAUAUGCACAGCCUGCUACUGCAACAGCAGCCACGGCCGCUGCAGCCGCUGCAGCAGCUUACAGCGAUGGUUAUGGCAGGGUGUACACAGCAGAUCCUUACCAUGCCCUUGCCCCUGCCGCUAGCUACGGAGUUGGCGCUGUGGCGAGUUUAUACCGAGGUGGCUACAGCCGAUUUGCCCCCUACUGAAGUGACGUGAGCCCCCUGCAAGUGGGAGAGCCCCCCCAGUUCAUGAGGCCUGGCUAUUGCAAUAUUUACUAGUAGAGGAACUCUAUAGCAAGUCGAGGAGGAAAAAAAAAAAAAAAAACAAAAGAGAAAAUACUUUUUUAUACCUCACUAUGUUCUUUGAAUAUGUAUUUUUUUUUUCCUUUAAAUUUCUGCCUUUAAUUCUUUUGUUCCAAAGAUUGUGCUUUUUUUUUUUGUUUGUUUGUUUUUUGUUUUCUUUUUUGGGUUUUUUUUAACUGUGGUAAAAAUAAUGCAUUUCCGUGUCUGUAUGUUGGUGCAUAGCUUAUCCUACCAAUCACGGAAAAGGCGAUUAGCGAUAAGGAAAGCUGUUAGAAACUGAUAUCAUGCAAUUAAUCAGGAACACGCAGACAGAGUUACUUCCCUGGGUCUGGUGCUUGGUGCCUGUGAGACAGGAGGACGUGAGGGAGAAGUCUCCACCUGCUGUGUUUCUGGUCUGCAGAAGGAAGCACUCUUUGGCUGUGGCUGGGACCUGAAUGCUGGUGGGAAAUAGUCAUUUACGUUUGGAAAUGGGGGAAAUGCAGAGACUUUCCUUGUUUCUAUCACCAUCUGACGCGCACAGGUUUGGGACAGUCUCAGCAGUGUCAGAACUUUAGUCUUCGCAAGAGGAGAGUCCCUCAACCUGCCCAAAGACUUCAGCUGUUACCUGCUCUAUAGGGGACAAGACUUGGAAAGGAGUUUUUGAUGAGGAUGAUCUUUUCCCCACACACAGAACUUUCACUCGCUGAUUUUUGUCCACUGCAGGUGGCUGUAACUGUCAUAGUUUUCAUUUCUCCUUUUGAAGAUCUUUCUUGCUGUCCUUUUCCUCCCCUUCGUUCCUCGAGGAGUGGCAGAUGCAGUGCAGGAUCAUGCAGAGAACCUCUGUUGCGGACAGCAAGUGACUAAACUUGGGGAGGUGAAGCACCUGCAGCCUUGCAGAGGAAGAAAGCGAGCAGAAGAGUCGAGCAUGGCGCACGCUCUGAGGCCCAGCGUGCAAGGGCUCUGCUCCUGUUCAUCCUGGGCUGCUUAGGUGCUUCUGCAAGUAAUCUCUUUCAAAUAAUAUGAGUGAGGAAAAGCCAAUCACACACAAGCUGCUCGAGGUGAGGGACAAGCAUGUGGGUUUGUGUGGAGGAAGAGGAUCUUUUAUAUCUAAAUGUGAUCCUGAAGUAGUUUUGUAUCUGGCAAAAGCAGUUUUUGCAAGCAAUGAAUUCAUAGGAACUUCCUACCACAGGCUAUUUCAGGCCUUUCCAUAGCUGCAUUGGAGCCCCUGGGUUUGUUUUGCCCAGCUUCUCACAGAAAGUUGUGCACCUGGUCUGCUGAGUCCAUAUAGACACUACAUAUUAGAAGACUUGGAAGAAUAGAAACUACUUACCCGAGGGCUCCACGACUCCCAAGACCAUCUCCCCUUCUGCUCUCACAGACAAAGAAUUUGCUGUGUUUCAAAGACAGGACACUUAGAUGACUGUGUUCUGUCCUGAUGCGGAGUUGCUGCUCUCCAGACCUCCCUGUUCAGCUGCUGGCUCCCAGAGUGCUCCCAGUAAUCCCAGUGGUCAGAGGCAGGCUCUAACCGCAUGCUGGAGAGAUGCAGAAGUGUAAUUGUACCAGGCUGCCUUGACUCCAUGGAUUGGUGCUGGGGUGAGCCACUGCCUUCAGAAGGGCAGCUUAGAGUAUGGAUUUGUUGGGGGAGCCUCUCCAGCUCCUGUCGAACACCUGCUUUUCCAUCCACCACUGACACAGAAUAGGAAAAUUCCUACAUUUAACACUAAGCAAUGUCAGCAAGCAGAGGUCCUGCUCCUGGGGAGGUAUCCUGGUCCAACCACACACAACCACACAUUUUUUGCUAUUCCCCAGUGAUACAUGGAGCCUCUCUGUGCACAGCAGAGUGGAGGUACCUCAAAUGGGAAGAAUGGGGACACCAUUAGUUAAGCUAGAGACCCUGAAGCUAUUGAUUUUCUGGAGGAAUAGCUAGAUAAAGGGGACACCAAACUGCCAGCCUGUUGGGCACUUUUUUUUGGUUUUGUUUUUUGGUUUUGUUUUUUUUUCCUGGUUUUAUUGUUGUUUUUUUACUUUUUUUUUUUUCCAAGCCAAAGUUUGGUUUGUUGCUGUUAUGACAAUUUUUUUGUUGUUUGUAUAUAAAUAUUUUAGCUUGAAGAUAAGGAGGGGGGAGAACAGGGUGUUGGGGCUUUCACAAAAUCUAGGAAAUGAGGGAGACUCGGGAUGUUUGGGGGUUUUUACUGCCUGAGUUGGGGUAGAAGAGGGAGGACUUGUGGUAGAGAUAGUCAUAUUCAAGUGGAGUUAUUUCUACUGCCGAGCAGCCAGGGGACUUGCAGAGCUGGGAUGCAGCUUGUUCUCCCCGCUGUGGAUGGAGAGCCUGAGCGAGGCCAUCCCUUCCCUUCCCGCAGGCAGUUCCUCAGGCUGUGAGCCCAGGAGCAUCUGCAGAGCCCUGCUGGGGCAGCUGCUCCCCCACUGCCCCUCUCCCACAUUCAGUUCAGCUGGUUCUGACUGCGGCUCCCCAAAAGCCGGGUUCUUCCUCCCUGAGUGCCCUCCCCUGCCCUGGCAGUGCCACCUGCAAUCCUCCCCUGCCACGUGGCCUCUCUGGGAGUAGGGAGGUAGCCCCAUUUCUGCCGCCUGGCAGAGUCUAUGCAUGGCAGCUUCAGCCCGCCCAAGUAUAUUAGGAAUGUGAGGGGUUUAGUGCAGAAGCACCCAACCUUUGGGGGGGCUGUGGUCCCCCGAUCUCCGAGUAAUACCUGUUCUAAGACCAUCCAGCCUGAUUCCUCCUGUAUGCGAGCCUGGCCUGCUCUAGUCCCUCGCUGCCAGGCUCUUCUGGUGCAUUAAGCAGCCAGUGUCUCUGUGGCUCCAUAGUUAAUGCUGCAAGAUCCCCUGAGGGAGCUUGCUGAUAGCCUGGCUUCCUGCUCUCAGCACUGAGCUGCAGAGGGGACACCAGGACACUUGCAUGGCUGGUGGCCAGAGGUAGCUCACUGGUUCCAGGUGUCCAAAGCACCAGACCUCCCAAAAACUUGCAUGGCAAGGUUUCCUGAGUGAGUGUUGUGCUGUGACAGGAGAGCUCUUCAGCCUUUCUUCCCUGUUGGCAAACAGGGAGCUCCAGUUUCACUCUGAUGUGUUAUGAGCUGAAUAAAGAAACUUUCAGAGUAGCCAAGGUGUGGCUAUAUCCAUCCUCUGAAGAAGUGAGGACAAAGCCUAUAUCUCCCUAUGCAAAAUUAAUUACGUUUAAUAAAUUGAACUGGGCCCUGGCUUAUUAGAAUGAUGGCAGCUAGUGCUUGUCCAUGUGAUGGGUCUGCAGUCACAGGUCCCUUGCAAAGCAGGAUUUGGCUUUCUGAGGGGAACCGCCCAGGCAGCCUGGCAAAUAGCUUGCUGUUUGUCACCAUCUAGUCUGGUGGCAUCUGGGACUCCUCUUGAUGCAGAGAAAAAAAAUGUAUCUUUAAGUGUAGCUAUUUGUACUGUCUUGCAAUAGGUUCAGCCAGCACAUGAUGAUGAAAUUUUGGUUUGAAGAGUUGGUUUAUUUAACAUGCUGGUCUGUAUUUCCUUGCAGUUACAGUUGUGCUGGUAUAAAGUAACUUCUACUGGUAUAGCAUAUUCUCUACUGGGAAUAAGUUAUAUUGAUGCCCAGCAAGUUAGCAAACUUGUCCUGGUCCCCAAGUGUGGAAGGCUGCACUGUUGUAGGUGGGUUAGCUUUUCCAAGAAAAGCUAUGACAGGACCUGGAGGCAGUGGGAGCUCAGUAUGAGCCUAAUGUAGUCAGCUUUUCCUGGGUUAAACAGUGAGGUGGAUCCUGUGUCAUGAAUUCAGAUAGACAAAGCCAUGUUUAAAGAUAGCUGUGGCUUGGCUGUUCCAGUGCCUGAGAGGGAGCAGACCUGCCCAGCAAGGAGCACUGGCUCUGGAGUCUGAGACCUGUGUUUUGGACAGGGCUCUGCCAGUGACCUCUCAAGGGUCCCUGUGGGGCAGUCGUGUUGCUACUUUAGACUUCGCUUCCCCGUCCCUAAAGUGAAGCUGAAGUUUAUCCCCUGUUCUUACCUGUUUUGAGAUCCAUGGAUGUGAAGUGUACAGCAAGAGCUAAGGAGGGUUUUCUGAGUAGCUAGCUCGAGUGCUGGUUGUGGAACGGUUAAUGAAGCCAUUUCCCUGCCUGAAAAGAGACACUGGCUGCUGGGCUUUCAAUUCCAGCACCCAGAGCUCCAUCAGUGGGGAAUACAAAGCAGAGCCUCCCAGUUCUACCCGUAUUUUUCCCCAGCCCAUCCCUAUCUGUAUCUUCCCAUCCUAGCCACGAAGAUGGAGGCAAGUAGAAAACAGGUUUGGGGAGCACUUAGGAAUUUAAUAAAGGGAAACCCAAAAAACAGCUCUGGGGAACGCUUUUGCUCAGUCUAGCUCCAAAGGGAAAGCACACAGGCAGCCUGGCAGAGGGCCUGCUGCCUGUGACCCUCCAGCCUGGCAGGGUGGGGGAAUGCUGUCCUUGGUGUAGAGGGGUGAUUUUUAAAGUGUUUUACCUGUUUGCACUGUUUUAAAAUAGGAGGGGGGGGAACCAACCUAGUGAACAAGAUGAACAUCCAAUGUAAACUUCUUUGUGUUUUUAUUUUUGACAUGCUCUUGGAUAAUGUCAAACAUUUUGUAGUAUACACCAGUGAGACUUGAUUCUUUGUUGCAUAAAACACUAUUUUUGGUGAUGUUAAUGUCUGAAAAGCCCAUUCCCUCCAUCCCCACCUUACUGAUUGCCCUCUCCACACUCCAACCCCAGUAAACUUCUCUUCUACAAUGAAAACUCCAGUCAAUAAGGCAAGCAGGAGUCUGAUAGCCAGAGCGUGAAAUGGGGCCCUUUGCAAGCAGGCUGUGGGGUUUCUGCCUGGUAUGCUUUGCUCCAGCCAGGAGUUGUCAGGAGAGUCCCCAUCUUUCUGCACUGCCUGCAGCAAUGGCAGCCUAAACGGGACUCGGGAUGGCCAAGUCCCGUCUCUGUUGCCACUGCUGACCCUGGAAGACAGCUUCUUGCUGGGGCUGCCAGUGCUGCCCAUGAUUGUCCUCUUGGGGCCAUGGGCUGCAGCUGGCCCAGGCUUGUGCAGGAGACCGGCUUCCCAUGCUGCCUCUCGACUCGUGGUAGAGCAGGAAUGCAUCAGCCAAAAACCUUGCCUGAUUUCACCAGGAGAUUGCUGGUGUGUAAAGCCGUCCACCAAGAUACUCAUUUGGCUGGCAGUCAGAGUCAGCAAAAUGCCCAUUAAUCUUAGGAAUGUUUCUUCUUUUUAAAAUUUUUUUGAUGUUCUGAAGUGGGUCAAUAAAUCUCUUGCCAGAUUCCCAGCUCUCUGCUGGUGGAAGGGCUUGUUGCUUCCCUGAGGAGUAAAUUUCUUACAGAAAUCAGGCCUCCCACAUUAAUAGUCUCAGUUCUGGUCAUGUUUUAAUAUUUUUUUCUGUUCACAGUAUUUUGUGUGUGCGAGUGUUGUAGUUUUGGCAGCUCAGUUUGGCUGCAUUAUCAAGUGACAAAAUCAUCCUCUUUUACCCCAGGGGAUACGAUUUGUUUUGUUUUUCCUUGAUUUUUUUUGUUUUGUUUGUUUGGGGGUUUUUGUUAGGCUUUGUUUGGUUUUUGGUUUUGGUUUUUUUUUUUAGGUUUUUUUUUUUUAAUAUGGUAAAUCCUGCUUGUAAAUUGCUGGAGCUAAAACCUGGGGCUGAUAGCAAAUGAGAACCAGGGCUGUAGAUCAAUACGGAGCUGGUGGAGUAUUUUACUGACCUCACAGGCCGAUCUCUUUGAGACUUGGAGAUUUUCAGUGCGAGGCCGAGAUGCCGCAGCACCUCCAAUGGCAGCGACAGACUUGCCCCUUCUCGCAGUCUCCCCAGCACCUCCCAUUGCCAGGUACCGCCGGGGAGCAGGACGUGUCCGAGUGGGACACGUUCCCUUCCCCUGCAUCAUUUCCUAGGACGCCCGAGCCGCUUGCCCAGGGUCCCAUUUCCCUGCUGACUCUGGAGAAGCAGUAUCUGCAUCCCAGGGCUUUGUGACAGCCUUUAACUUCCCGCCCUCCCUCGUUAAGUAUCAUAUUGUAUAGUAGCUUUCAGACCAUACAGUAUUCAUUGGGUUAUUCCUAUUAUUAUCAAGUAGCUGGAAUUGUGAAGGUUGGAGUAGUUAGAUCUUUAGCUUUUAUUCCUUUUUUUUGUAUUACUAUCCAUGUGUAUAAAUUAUUGAUCAUGUUGCUGGCUUUUAUAAACUCUAAGCAAGGGGGGAAACCCUUCCUAACCCUUUGCAAAUGGUAAUGAAGCACUGUUUUUAAAUAAAAGAGAGAAACACCA